rnacentral:lncRNA from 1 species
AUGGAUGGAUGGAUGGAUGGGUAGAUGGAUGGAUGGAAACACCAAGCCACCUCCAGAUCUUCCAUCUAAGUUUGUUCCUCCAUGUCAGGGAGUGAGUUGCUUCCUGAACAAUCAGUGAUUCUGCCCGAACCCAGAAGACCAGCUCAGGAGCCCGGCUGAGUCAGUGGCCAGAAGAUGUGGUCCUGAACUCCGCUCUGAUUGUCACUUCCCUUGUGCCCAUUUUACAGAUGAGC